ACUAUACCUUUCAGUGAUCCUCUUGUUUCAAUUCAAAAGACUUUAUCUCAUCUCAAAAUCGAUGCGGUAAUCGGUGUGACCGUCUUGUGGAAUGGAGAAGACUCCCUCAGGGUUGACCUGAAUGAAAAAUUCAAGAAUAACACUUGUGGCCUGUGUGGUGACUUCAACGGCCAAUCUGAUAUGACAGUCGAUGGACAGUCUGUAAAUCUUAAAGAAUAUGCACAAUCAUGGAAAAGGAGCGCUUCUACAGAAGAGUGUGAAGAAAAGACCAUUCAUCCAAAACCCUGCA